rnacentral:rRNA from 1 species
UGAGGAAUAUUGGGCAAUGCCCGCAAGGGUGACCCAGCAACGCCGCGUGGAGGAUGAAUGUCGUAAGAUUGUAAACUCCUGUUAGAGGGGAAGAAUAGUACCGGUUGGACCGGUAUAUGACUGUACCCUCAGAGAAAGCCCCGGCUAACUACGUGCCAGCAGCCGCGGUAAUACGUAGGGGGCAAGCGUUGUCCGGAUUUACUGGGUGUAAAGGGCGCAGGCGGUUAUGUAAGACAGAGGUGAAAUCCCCGGGCUCAACCUGGGAACUGCCUUUGUGACUGCAUAGCUGGAGUACGGCAGAGGGGGAUGGAAUUCCGCGUGUAGCAGUGAAAUGCGUAGAUAUGCGGAGGAACACCGAUGGCGAAGGCAAUCCCCUGGGCCUGUACUGACGCUCAUGCACGAAAGCGUGGGGAGCAAACA